UGUUUCGGCAAGGGGGUCAUCCCGACUUACCAACCCGAUGCAAACUGCGAAUACCGGAGAAUGUUAUCACGGGAGACACACGGCGGGUGCUAACGUCCGUCGUGAAGAGGGAAACAACCCAGACCGCCAGCUAAGGUCCCAAAGUCAUGGUUAAGUGGGAAACGAUGUGGGAAGGCCCAGACAGCCAGGAUGUUGGCUUAGAAGCAGCCAUCAUUUAAAGAAAGCGUAAUAGCUCACUGGUCGAGUCGGCCUGCGCGGAAGAUGUAACGGGGCUAAACCAUGCACCGAAGCUGCGGCAGCGACGCUUAUGCGUUGUUGGGUAGGGGAGCGUUCUGUAAGCCUGUGAAGGUGUACUGUGAGGUAUGCUGGAGGUAUCAGAAGUGCGAAUGCUGACAUAAGUAACGAUAAAGCGGGUGAAAAGCCCGCUCGCCGGAAGACCAAGGGUUCCUGUCCAACGUUAAUCGGGGCAGGGUGAGUCGACCCCUAAGGCGAGGCCGAAAGGCGUAGUCGAUGGGAAACAGGUUAAUAUUCCUGUACUUGGUGUUACUGCGAAGGGGGGACGGAGAAGGCUAUGUUGGCCGGGCGACGGUUGUCCCGGUUUAAGCGUGUAGGCUGGUUUUCCAGGCAAAUCCGGAAAAUCAAGGCUGAGGCGUGAUGACGAGGCACUACGGUGCUGAAGCAACAAAUGCCCUGCUUCCAGGAAAAGCCUCUAAGCAUCAGGUAACAUCAAAUCGUACCCCAAACCGACACAGGUGGUCAGGUAGAGAAUACCAAGGCGCUUGAGAGAACUCGGGUGAAGGAACUAGGCAAAAUGGUGCCGUAACUUCGGGAGAAGG
rnacentral:rRNA from 1 species